rnacentral:rRNA from 1 species
AACAGCACAGCGAUCUGCUGAUGUUUAAAAUCCUGUAGUGUGAACUAGGCUUAAGCAGGGCUGCGCUUGGUCAGCACCUGGAUGGGAGACCAUGUGGAAAAGCUAGGUUGCUGCUG